rnacentral:rRNA from 1 species
GAUGAACGCUAGCUACAGGCUUAACACAUGCAAGUCGCGGGGCGAGCAUGAAUUUUAAGUCUUGUCUAAAUUUUAGUAUGGCGACCGGCGCACGGGUGAGUAACGCGUAUCCAACCUUCCCUUAUCCACGGGAUAGCCCGUCGAAAGGCGGAUUAAUACCGUAUGAGGUCACAUGACGGCAUCCGAUUGUGACGAAAGGUUUGGCGGAUAAGGAUGGGGAUGCGUCCGAUUAGCUUGUUGGCGGGGUAACGGCCCACCAAGGCGACGAUCGGUAGGGGUUCUGAGAGGAAGGUCCCCACA